CACAAUUCUUUCAUGAUCAACGUCUCGGUACGAUCUUGCGUGGCUUCUAGUCCCCUGUCGACGAGCGACAAUCACCUUCCCAGAGCGCUGCUGCAAUUGGUUCAUCGGAUAGCCGCCAUGUCUGGCCUCGAACGCUUCUACUCGAGAAAGCAGAG